GCAGGUCGUUGCAUCUGAGGGCAAUUCAGCACAUAAUUUAUGGAGCAGAGAAGAGCAUCUCUGCUCUUCAUGGCAAUAGGCUAAACAUUUGACACAUUCAACACAAGCCUUGCACGCACCAUCCUUCAUAUGGCAGUUUCAGCGGCAGAGAAUGAUAGUGCAGUGGAGAAAGAAGAGGCAAUCAAGACAACCAUAGGCCUCACCUAUAUGUUCCAUUCACAAGCUUCACACCUGAUUUUGCAGUCAAGCUGUGUGUGGAAGACCAGUGGAUGCUGUGUGUGGAAGAGCAGUGGAUGCUGAUGGUCGAAAUGAAUGACAGAUUGGUUACAUCAUAUAGUCAGCACUUUACCUUUGAGAGGAGCUAGAAUUGUUGCUUCAGUCAGAGAUUCAAGUUGCCAGGGCCAUGGUGAA